UAGGUGAAACAUUCACCUAGACGUAGGGGCCCCUAUAAACCGACGCCUAUAAGCCCCGCGAAUAUGAAUUUAAAUCAGAAAGACGUCAUAUUAGUUAGGGCCCCGACGUCUAUAUUAUUAUAGACGUCGGACCCCCUCAGCACCCGACGUCUACAGCCAGUUAUAGUGCAAAACGCGAACCCGCGAAGAGUUACGCUCACUGUUCAUCGUCUUCCUCGCGUUUUCUCUCUGAGACAUUGCAUUUGCAGUUUCUGACGUGUGCUUGGGCGACGUUUUUGACUCUUUUUGGCCAACGUUUUUGGGCGUGCAUUACUCCAUUUCCCUGCAUUGCUUUUUUAAUCUGCUUAAAAGAUGUUGUCGAGGAGAUUCCUUUGGGAGCCAGAGCUGGAAGAUUCUGAGGUUGCG